UACGGAGGGGGCGAGCGUUACUCGGAAUUAUUGGGCGUAAAGGGCGCGUAGGCGGCUGUACAAGUCAAAGGUGAAAUCCCUCGGCUCAACUGAGGAACUGCCUUUGAAACUGUACGGCUUGAGGCCGGGAGGGGGUAGCGGAAUUCCCAGUGUAGCGGUGAAAUGCGUAGAUACUGGGAGGAACACCAGUGGCGAAGGCGGCUACCUGGACCGGUUCUGACGCUGAGGCGCGAAAGCGUGGGUAGCAAACAGG
rnacentral:rRNA from 1 species